rnacentral:lncRNA from 1 species
GCUCUGUAAGUCAGAGAAUAAACCCUCAAAGAUAAAUGAAUUUGCAUAAAAUGUAGUGUAGAUAACAAGCAUACUGCUCAUCUUUUACAUAGUUUUCCUGCUACUGCAAUCUUUCCACAUAGAGAAAACUAAGUCCUGACUCAUUUCUCAAUAGCAAUGACAUUUUCUAUAAGUCGCAGUGUUAGUAAAUAGCAAUCAAUGCUCCUGCAUUCAAAGUAAGACUUUUUGUUUUUGCUGUAAAUGGCCACCAAGCUAUCUGUGUCAGUUGUUUCCAUUAUUUUCAAUUGGGACUUAGGUUCCUUGGAGGGCAUAAAACAUUUCAGACACCUAGAGCUGCAGUUGUAGAGCAAAACAUCUUAAUGGUUUGUUUGGAAACAGCUUUUGACAACAGCGUAUCCUUUGAUCUCUGUAUUUGUAGCUGGGAGGUUACAAAGACUGUAAUAAUCAGAUGGCAGGAACAGAAAAGACACUUCUGUUUUAGAUCUAGUUAAUUUGACUUAAAAUUAUAUGUGAACACAGAGAAAAAGUUCAACAUUGGUGCUAAUAUUGCUUUAAAGUGAUUCUAUUUCCUUUGAACAAACCAUACUGACUUACAUCCACUUCACAUCCUAGCCAAAAGAAUAUACUUGUUGGAGUAGCCCAUGGAAACAUUUCUUUACAGGUUUGCUUUCUCCCUGCCUUGUUCUGUAGCCCACUUUGUAGCAAUGGAUUACCUUGACGACAACUGCCUGAACUGUCUCAGGUCUGGUCUCCUUCUCUGACUGCUCAUUUGGAGCUACAUAUCUUCCAAGGUUACCUUUAUCUGAAGGGAGUACAGUUUACAACACAAGGACCAUCUUACAGUGCCAGUAAGAGCCAGUGAGGACCCAGAGGGCUGCUGCUAAAAUUCCCCCAUUACCUGCAGCAUCAAUGCAGACAACUCCUCAGAAAAGUGAAGAAGGCAUCUUAGAGGUAGGAAGAAAAUUGGAAAAUAUGAAGACACGUAAAAGCUCAAAGAGAGAAUUUCACAACCCAUGCUCCCGUACAAUUGCAGAGCUUGGCAGAAAUGACUGUUAUCCUGUCCCAUGUAUAGAGCUUUCACUGAGCGCCCUUCAUUCAGUAAAUGAAGAUGAAUGCUUAUUAGGAAAAAAAGGGCUCGCUGUGAUCAACUUCCCAAAAAUAAUCAGAAUGAGGCACGCAACCUGAACAUUAGGCUCUUAAUGGCUGCUUUGGAGCGAACUGAGGAAGGCUAAGGAUCGUUGGCUGCUUGCACUGAGUCAUAACUUUUUAAACAAGGCCCUAAGUCAGAGCUAUCAGUCCUGUGGUGCUGUUUUCCUGGCUCAUGAUAAGCCUGUCUCUUUCUGUCCCAGGCUUGGGCCUGUGAUUUAACAUAGCAAUGACAGCAAUUGCUAGCCCCAAAAACAUCCUUAGCAACUCUCAUCUAAUACAGAUCACUUAUUCUUUGUGAAAGAUGAAUGAGUCAUGCAAGUAACAGACGGCACAUUAAGAGUACAUUGUUAAAGUGUGCUUUAAGUAGUUAUGUGGCAGAUAAUGAUGUGGGGUCAAAUAAUAAUUUAAUUUUUGUACACUAUCCUUUUUUGUACAUAACCAGUGGACCACCCUCUAUGAUGAAGGAUCUCUCAAUAAUAUACAGGAUACUUACUGGAGAACAUUAGGAAAUUCCUUAUUCUUUUUUCACAAUAGCUCUUUACGUGUUUUUAAAGUCUUUUUGUGUUAUAUAAAUGGCUUUGAAAUCUGUGGACCAAACCUUUGUAAAAUAUCAUUGGAAAAAAGAAAACAGAUGCAAUCCUCAUGCCAUAAAAUUAAAUGAGCUUUUUUGGACAAAGUAUAGCAUACCACUUAGCUAUUAAUUUUUACUUCUGCAUCAUAAAAGCCCUAGGCUAUCCUUUUAUGUAUCUCUAAGCAUAGUGAAGUUGUUUCCCCCCUCCCAAAAAAAAAAAACCUCUGCUUUAUUUUUGGUAUACCAAGAAAU